rnacentral:tRNA from 1 species
UAUAUUUUAUUAUAUGAUGUAUAGAGACUUUUGAUGUCUAAGGAGAUAGUUUAAUUCUAUCAAAUAUAA